rnacentral:rRNA from 1 species
CCUACGGGAGGCAGCAGUGGGGAAUAUUGGGCAAUGGGCGCAAGCCUGACCCAGCAACGCCGCGUGAAGGAAGAAGGCUUUCGGGUUGUAAACUUCUUUUCUCAGGGACGAAGCAAGUGACGGUACCUGAGGAAUAAGCCACGGCUAACUACGUGCCAGCAGCCGCGGUAAUACGUAGGUGGCAAGCGUUAUCCGGAUUUACUGGGUGUAAAGGGCGUGUAGGCGGGAAAGCAAGUCAGAUGUGAAAACCAUGGGCUCAACCUGUGACCUGCAUUUGAUACUGUUUUUCUUGAGUACUGGAGAGGCAGACGGAAUUCCUAGUGUAGCGGUGAAAUGCGUAGAUAUUAGGAGGAACACCAGUGGCGAAGGCGGUCUGCUGGACUGCAACUGACGCUGAGGCGCGAAAGCGUGGGGAGCAAACAGGAUUAGAUACCCCAGUAGUC